AAUAAGUCCACUUUUACACUGUUCGUAUUCAACGUUUGAUCGUUCGUUUUAUUUGAAAAAUUUUUAUGGUUAGUAUUUUAUUGCUAUUGGAUGAUAAAAUAUGAAUAGUAUUUUAUGUGUGACUAAUUUAUUUUAAUUUUUUCAUAAAAUUUUUAAAUAAGAUGAACGGUCAAACAUUGGACAUGGAUACCCACGGCUGCAUUUAUU
rfam:Oryza meridionalis cultivar OR44 (W2112) chromosome 2, whole genome shotgun sequence.